UACGAAGGGGGCUAGCGUUGUUCGGAAUUACUGGGCGUAAAGCGCGCGCAGGCGGUCUUCCAAGUCAGGGGUGAAAUCCCGGGGCUCAACCCCGGAACUGCCCUUGAGACUGCAUCGCUUGAAUCCAGGAGAGGUGAGUGGAAUUCCGAGUGUAGAGGUGAAAUUCGUAGAUAUUCGGAAGAACACCAGUGGCGAAGGCGGCUCACUGGACUGGUAUUGACGCUGAGGUGCGAAAGCGUGGGGAGCAAACAGG
rnacentral:rRNA from 1 species